AGGUUCGUGGUCAUGUGACGCGAGGAAGGGCGGACGUAAGACCCAAGCAGAGGAGCGGGGCUGUGCGACGGCGAUUCCGCGACAUCUUUGUUGUGGGCAAAGUGCGCCCACCGCAUCUCGUGUUUAAAAGGCUUCUAAGUAGAGAGAAUGGACUCAACACAGCAUUCAUUCUUCUGCUUGUAAAAGUGCAAAUACAGAAGCCUACACUACAGAUGAUUUAAGAGAGAUUGCAUUUCCAAACUAGACUUUCCACAUCCCAGUGUUCUUGGAAGAACUUUCAGUGUGACUGUAAUAUCAGUGUUUGCCACUUUCAAAAAAUCAUGAAGUACAGGAGAAAUACCUAAUGCUGGAGAUAGGUGAGUAUCUCAUUUUUUAAAAAGUUUUUAAAAAGUAGAUUCUGGAAACCACAUACCAAGAGAGCUUAACAUGUAUCCUGGCAAUAAACCAUGUCAAGAAACUUCAUUAUCCAUCACAAGAUAACACAGAACCACUAUGACAUAACUCUGAUUUCAUCAUUAGUUUCCAGGAAUUUGAUGUAAAUGGAGAAAUCUUUUCAAAUAUGCUGCUGAGAAAAAGCUAGGGAAGGUGGCUAUGGUGUUAAGUGAGAUGUUAUGAUUGAGAGAUCUUAAUAGAUUGGGAGCAUGAGCCUAAAGGAACAAGAUGAUAUCUAAGAAAAAUAAAUGUGAAAGUUCUGCACUUAAGUCACAAAUACACAAAUGGACAAGACAAAAAGUAAUGGCGGAAACUUAGCAGCUCAGGCGGAAAAGGCACAAGGGAUUUCGCUGACCAUAAACUCAACGUGUGAUGAUAAUGUGGUGACUAGGCAGCCAGACAAUCCAUGUGGAAUUCUGUUUUUAUUGUUGUUUAGUAGCUCAGUCAUGUCUGACUGUUUGCAGCCCCAUGGACUGUGGCCUGCCAGGCUCCUCUGCCCAUGCAAUCC